GGAGCUUGUGAGUAAGGCAAUGUUAUCAAGAACUAUAACAUAAUUUUAUAAAAGGGUGCAAACAUGGCAAUGCUGAUGACCUUGCUUACUUCAGUGAAAUAAUAGGAGCCAUGAGAGGAGAAUGUCACCUGCUCCCUGACACAUCCUUCCAGAUUAACUACUAUAUACCAGCACAAUCCCAAGCAAAAGCAAAACACCCUGCCAAAGGUGCAAGUGACCAGGUUAUGCCAUCCCAGAAUGCACCCAAUCGUCAGCACAGAGAUGGUAGGAUCUUGUCCAAAGUGCAUCUGACCUGGCUCUGAAACGAGUUCCCACAACCAGCAAUUGUCGUAAGCCAGACCUUUCAAUACUUGGGACAAUUUACUCCUGUGAAACAUAAAGAAAAAGAUUUAAAUGCUCUUUGCAAUCUCUUGUGGCUCCAAAAACAUCAUGAUUCCUCAAUCAACUAGUACUUGGCACCUAGGGACACCCCAAAAAUGUGGCUCUGUGAAUGGAUUUCUCCAGUGUGUAUGAAGAGACAGGAGCCCUCUGGCCUCUGUGAGCUUCCAUGAUCUUCUAUCAAAGAAUAUGCUUUGGAGAUGAAAGCCAGCAACUAGUUGUGAAGCACAACUACAGGCAUUCUGCAUUUAAUGACCGAAUUGUGUUCCCACUACUAGAUCAUUCACUGAAUUGAUUACUAAAUGAGUUAUAUAUAAUAUGUACAUUACAAUAUUCAGAAUAAAGAAAUGAUCAAAGAAAACUC